GCAUCUUUUCCUGAACACCGCCCCUACCACUACAUGGCUACAACCACGUAGAGAAACUUGGCACACAAUUCAUUAACCUCUAUACUGCUCUUAUAUGCGCAGCUGCAAAAGAAAGUAAAGGAAGCCAAAUAUUUUACAGAAGACAACAAUUUGCUGGCCGGAAAAUAAAGUAGUAACCAAGGAAAGCACGGACCCUAAGCCUUGAGUCCUUCAAAAAAAAACCGUACCCAGGGGCGUAGCUGGGCCAUUCCAGUGACUAGGGCCACUCCAUGAGCUGGUUAGGCUAAUUAAGAUGGGCCUCUUUGCAACAAUAGUCUACAGUAAGGAAAAAUUCAGCCCACACCUAGGGUCAUGGCCAUAGUUGCCCUGAGCUUUCUUCCGCCACUGACCGUACACUAAGAGCAUCUCCAAAAAUCUCUCUAAAAUGAGUUGGCUAACUAAAAACAAUAAAAUUAUGGUAAAAAUAGAAUUCAACCGCCUCUCCAAAUUCUCCUCCUCGCUAUCCAUCCACGUUUCCGCAAGCUUUCUUGGUCGAGCGGCGUAGCUCGCCAUUCACCUCUGGCUGUCCCGCGCUAGCUUCCCACGAGGGAAAAAAUUGGAUGCACCAGGGUCCAGGGGCGCAUGGGAGCUUCCGUGCACCCCCGGCCCAGUUCCAUCGGACGGCACAGGCUCACGUGUGGGAGCUGGGCGCUGAAGCCGAGCCGAGCCAAUCUCUACGAGCUGGAAAAACGAGCCGCAAGCAUCACUUUCAGAUGGUUUGGAUGCACGGGUCGGACAUUACGAAUAGAGGUGUAUGGGAGCUUCCAUGCAUGCAUCCGGGUGCACCCAAUUUUUCCCCAAAAGACCAACUUUGUUUUCCAAAUCGACGCGGCUGCCGCCGCCGAGAACCGCUGAGUGGAGUGGUGAGACUCAGGUACGCGGGUUUGAGGUGGUAGCAGUGCCACAAAAGUGCCCCGGCCGGCGACUGGCGACUGGAGACGCGGUCCCGCAGCAUACCUCCUGCAGUCCCGAGCACCCCACCGCCGGAGCUCCGUCCACCAUUGCGCCCUCUACCAUGCCCAUCCCUACCCCGCAAAAACCCACCGAAAAGGUAUUCCUCGGCAUCCUCUUUCUGCUCCCCCACCUUUUACUUAGCCGCCGGCGAGCGAGUUUGCCGGAUUUCGGUCGGGCAGACCGUCCCCUGCCAUGAACAACGACUCGGGAUCUAAUUGCUUUGAUUGCAAAAUUUUUAGGGUGCUUUUUGCAAGAUCUAAGGACCUAUUUAUGAGAAUUUGAGUUAACUUGUAAAAUGGAGAGUCAAGAUUUGUAGAGACGCCUAUUAAAUUCCUCACCUUAUAGGAAGUCUUUUAUUCUUUUACAGACUUUAUAAAACUCUAAAUUUAGCUAGGAUUAUACGGUCCGUUGGAGAUUAUUUAAGCUUUGCUGCCGAUGGUGGUGCGCUCGAUCGUCAGCUCGGAGGGUCAAUCGGUGGGACUUCCUCUCCUGCUCAAUGCAAUCGAAUCUUGACAGCGCGUCUAUUGGCAGGCCGAGACCACAAUCUUCCAUGACGGAGGCCGCGCGCGUGUGGUUCAUGGGCGCCGGCAGAAGCCGGGCGAUGUCGGCGGUGGCGAUGUGGCAGAGGCAGAGGAGCGGGGCGCUGCUUCGGUUGGCGACGAAGGGAUCGAAGCCGUCGCAGCAGGCGGUCGGAGGCGCCGGGACGCUGGCGUUGGUGAGGAAGCCCGCGCACGGCAUCAAGCUCCUCAGCGACGACCGGCACUCCCUCGGAUCCGUCGGCUGCGGCGGCGGCGGCGGCGUUACGUUGUAGCAAGGGAUCAGCGGGAUCUUCGGGAACCACGGAGAGCAAGGAAGUAUCCGUGGCAAUGGCAGGUCAGGGACGCUCAGCCCGGCCGGCUGCAGGAGUGCUUCUCCAUUGGGCGAUGGAGCGGCGGCCUUGGCUGGUCCUCCGACUCUGGUCGCCGCUGAAGGACGAGGGCCAGGCACGACCACGGCGAAGACGACGACGAGCAAGGAGAUCUGGACGCGCUUGUCAGAUGGCGCCAUCGAUGACAGAGAGGGGUGUCUCCGUCAAUGGAGGCUAGGCUCUGUCUUGGGCUGUUGGCUAGUGCCGUAGAGCGUGGCGAACAAUGAAAAAAGAACCUACGUGGAAGGUGAUGAUCGAUCUUUGAGAUAGAAAAAUAUAAUCUUAAACGCAACAAACCUUGUACAAUCUUCUGGAGAUCGUCCCUACUCCCUAACCCUGACUCGGCUCGAGAUGCAUCUGUAACAAAACGCAGAAAUGAUCUGGUAGACCGUAUCAGCAUUCGGCAAAUAAUUCUGUUGCUGGUGAUGAUGUAUAUUAUGGUUAUGAGAUA